UCACAAACUUAGAGUUUAGAGUUAAAGGGUGGGGUUUAGGAUUUAGGGUUUAGGGUUUAGGGUUUAGAGUUUAGGGUUUAGGGUUUAGAGUUUAGGGUUUAAGGUUUAGGGUUUAGAGUUUAGGGUUUAGGUUUUGGGGGUAAGAUUUCAAAUUUUGAAAAAUAAAAAAAUUAAAAUUUUCAAAGGAUAAAUUUAGAAAUGUGCUAUUUUGGUCAUUUUAGUUUUUGAGUGCUAUUUUUGUGAUAUAAACUUAGAAAUGUGCUAUUUUGGAGAUUUGCCCUAGAUAUUAUAUUAAAUUCAUAUAUGUUUGGGUUUGGUUCAGUCUAUAUACUGUCAGUUUUUUGUUUAUUCAAUUUUAGUCUAGUCUCAGUUGAUUUUUUGUUUCUUUUUGUUUAUAAAAUUAUAUACCAUAUUAAAAUC
rnacentral:lncRNA from 1 species